AGUCGAACGGAAGCAAAGAUUUCGGUUUUUGCUUUAGUGGCGAACGGGUGAGUAACGCGUGAGGAACCUGCCUUUCAGUGGGGGACAACAGUUGGAAACGACUGCUAAUACCGCAUAAUGCUUUUGAGUGGCAUCACUUAAAAGCCAAAGAUUUAUUGCUGAAAGAUGGCCUCGCGUCUGAUUAGCUAGUUGGUGGGGUAACGGCCCACCAAGGCGACGAUCAGUAGCCGGUCUGAGAGGAUGAACGGCCACAUUGGGACUGAGAUACGGCCCAGACUCCUACGGGAGGCAGCAGUGGGGAAUAUUGGGCAAUGGGGGAAACCCUGACCCAGCAACGCCGCGUGAAGGAAGAAGGCCUUCGGGUUGUAAACUUCUUUUACCAGGGGCAAAAGAAAUGACGGUACCUGGAGAAAAAGCAACGGCUAACUACGUGCCAGCAGCCGCGGUAAUACGUAGGUUGCGAGCGUUGUCCGGAUUUACUGGGUGUAGAGGGCGUGUAGGCGGAGAUGCAAGUUGGGAGUGAAAUCCAUGGGCUCAACCCAUGAACUGCUUCCAAAACUGUAUCCCUUGAGUAUCGGAGAGGCAAGCGGAAUUCCUAGUGUAGCGGUGAAAUGCGUAGAUAUUAGGAGGAACACCAGUGGCGAAGGCGGCUUGCUGGACGACAACUGACGCUGAGGCGCGAAAGCGUGGGGAGCAAACAGGAUUAGAUACCCUGGUAGUCCACGCUGUAAACGAUGAAUACUAGGUGUGGGAGGACUGACCCCUUCCGUGCCGCAGUUAACACAAUAAGUAUUCCACCUGGGGAGUACGACCGCA
rnacentral:rRNA from 1 species